rnacentral:misc_RNA from 1 species
CAACACUCAAGCUCUGCUUGGUAUUGGACCACAUCAGUUCUGAUCGGUCUUAAAAUCAGUGGCGGUGCCAUCGUGCUCUAAGCGUAGUAAUACUCCUCGCUACAGGGUCUCGGUGCGUACUUGCCAGCAACCCUCAACUUUCUAA